GAUGAACGCUGGCGGCGUGCCUAAUACAUGCAAGUAGAGCGCUGAAGGAGGAGCUUGCUUCUCUGGAUGAGUUCCGCACGGGUGAGAAAAACGUAGGUAUCAUGUCUGGUAGCGGGGGAUAACACUUGGAAACGAUAGCUAAUACCGCAUAAGAGUAGAUGUUGCAUGACAUUCGCUUAAAAGGUGCAAUUGCAUCACUACCAGAUGGACCCGCGGUGUAUUAGUUAGUUGGUGGGGUAACGGCGCACCAAGGAGACAAUACAUAGCCGACCUGGGAGGGGUGUCCGCCACACUUGGACUGGGACACCGGCCAGACUCCUACGGGAGGCAGCAGUAGGGAAUCUUCGGCAAUAGACCGAAGUCUGACCGAACAACGCCGCGUGAGUGGAGAAGGUUUUCGGAUCGUAAAGCUCUGUUGAUAGGGAAGAACGAGUUGUGGAGUGGAAAGUUCACACUGUGACGGUAUCUUACCAGAAAGGGACGGCUAACUACGUG
rnacentral:rRNA from 1 species